UAAUACGUAGGCAGCGAGCGUUGUUCGGAGUUACUGGGCGUAAAGGGUGCGUAGGCGGCCUAUUAAGUUUGUCGUGAAAUCUCCCGGCUCAACUGGGAGGGUGCGGCGAAUACUGAUGGGCUUGGAGUGUGGGAGAGGAGAGUGGAAUUCCUGGUGUAGCGGUGAAAUGCGUAGAUAUCAGGAGGAACACCGGCGGUGUAGACGGCUCUCUGGACCAUAACUGACGCUGAGGCACGAAAGCGUGGGUAGCAAACAGGAUUAGAUACCCUGGUAGUCCACGCCCUAAACGAUGCGCAUUUGGUGUGGGCAGUUCAUUCUGUCCGUGCCGUAGCUAACGCGUUAAAUGCGCCGCCUGGGGAGUACAGUCGCAAGGCUG
rnacentral:rRNA from 1 species